GACCCUGUAGUGAAGUUCAUAGUGAGUUGCAAGCUCGUUGAUGUACACUAGAGUGUGCCGGGGUCU
rnacentral:tRNA from 1 species